AUUGAACGCUGGCGGCAGGCCUAACACAUGCAAGUCGAGCGGCAGCGACUUAACUGAACCUUCGGGGAACGUUAAGGGCGGCGAGCGGCGGACGGGUGAGUAAUGCCUGGGAAUAUGCCCUGAUGUGGGGGAUAACUAUUGGAAACGAUAGCUAGUACCGCAUAAUCUCUUCGGAGCAAAGAGGGGGACCUUCGGGCCUCUCGCGUCAGGAUUAGCCCAGGUGGGAUUAGCUUGUUGGUGAGGUAAUGGCUCACCAAGGCAACGAUCCCUAGCUGGUCUGAGAGGAUGAUCAGCCACACUGGAACUGAGACACGGUCCAGACUCCUACGGGAGGCAGCAGUGGGGAAUAUUGCACAAUGGGGGAAACCCUGAUGCAGCCAUGCCGCGUGUGUGAAGAAGGCCUUCGGGUUGUAAAGCACUUUCAGUAGGGAGGAAGGUAGUGCAGUUAACACCUGCAUUAUUUGACGUUACCUACAGAAGAAGCACUGGCUAACUCCGUGCCAGCAGCCGCGGUAAUACGGAGGGUGCGAGCGUUAAUCGGAAUUACUGGGCGUAAAGCGCAUGCAGGCGGCCUGUUAAGUCAGAUGUGAAAGCCCGGGGCUUAACCUCGGAAUUGCAUUUGAAACUGGCAGGCUAGAGUCUUGUAGAGGGGGGUAGAAUUUCAGGUGUAGCGGUGAAAUGCGUAGAGAUCUGAAGGAAUACCAGUGGCGAAGGCGGCCCCCUGGACAAAGACUGACGCUCAGAUGCGAAAGCGUGGGGAGCAAACAGG
rnacentral:rRNA from 1 species